CUCACUGGGAAGACGCCCUAGGGAAGGUUGUCGAAGCUCCACAGUAGGCGAGCACCGCGGGUGUUCCUCAAGCCAAAAAAAUAAACCCCGGAACCGGGAAGAGGAGCCCUGCUCCUGAGGUGUGCCUCCGGCGCCCUCUACUGGUAUUUGGACCACCAUGGACAUCACUGAUUCAUGAUGGGGAUUCUCCUGACCUACUGCCUGCUAGGAUGAUCUUGCUCUGGCUUACUUGCUUUAAACUGGCUCACAGUUGGCAUUCCUUAAGGUGGAAAGCAAACCGCUUAAUACUGCCAUUUCACCAAGGCCCAGAAAUUUGUGGAAUCUUGUACAAGGUCUAAUUCAAGAAUUCAUUUUCUACAAGAAGUCUUCCUAACUAUUCAGCACUUGAUCAUUGCUUAGCUCUCCUGGCUCUUCAACUGCCUUGCCAGCUGGUGGGCACCAAAUACUUAGUCUUCACUGCCAUGUGAACAUCACACCUCCCUAAACAGAAGGGAAGUUCUUUUGUGUCAGUAUCUCUGAAUCCUGGCCCAUGGCAGGCAAUAUUUCAGAUGAUGAUGGUGGUGCAAUUAUAGAAAUUAUUCCCUCAAUUCACAUUACAAAUGAAAAUGUAAAGAUUCAGGAAGACCUAAGUGUACUGAAGAUAAAUUUGUCACCCAUUAUUAAUGGAAGCUUUGGCUUUAUCUACAAAUGUGAAGGAAGCUCCCUGAGAUAAGGGAUUCUGAUGCAAUAUGCAACAUGAACACCAACCCAUCAAGGCCCUAGACAAAAGAAUCCUAUGGAUA